UACGUAGGGGGCAAGCGUUGUCCGGAUUUAUUGGGCGUAAAGAGCGCGUAGGCGGUCUGUCGCGUCGGCUGUGAAAACCCGGAGCUCAACUCCGGGCCUGCAGUCGAUACGGGCAGACUGGAGUUCGGCAGGGGAGACUGGAAUUCCUGGUGUAGCGGUGAAAUGCGCAGAUAUCAGGAGGAACACCGGUGGCGAAGGCGGGUCUCUGGGCCGAUACUGACGCUGAGGAGCGAAAGCGUGGGGAGCGAACAGG
rnacentral:rRNA from 1 species